rnacentral:rRNA from 1 species
AUUGAACGCUGGCGGCAGGCCUAACACAUGCAAGUCGAGCGGAGCGGCGGACGGGUGAGUAAUGCCUAGGAAUCUGCCUGGUAGUGGGGGAUAACGUCCGGAAACGGGCGCUAAUACCGCAUACUAUCAGAUGAGCCUAGGUCGGAUUAGCUAGUUGGUGGGGUAAAGGCCUACCAAGGCGAAGAUCCGUAACUGGUCUGAGAGGAUGAUCAGUCAAACUGGGACUGAGACACGGUCCAGACUCCUACGGAGUGGAGAAGUGGGGAUUAUUGGACAAGGGGGGAAAUCCUGAUCCAGCCAUGCCGCGUGUGUGAAGAAGGUCUUCGGAUUGUAAAACACUUUAAGUUGGGAGGCGUUACCAACAGAAUAGGCACCGGCUAACGUCGUGCCAGCAGCCGCGGUAAUUC